AGCUGGGAAGUAAUUUUUGUGUAGAAGAAUUUCCAUAAGUUUUUCUUCAAAGCUCUCUUUGCUGAGAGAACAUCUUAUGUCUUGUAACAUUCUAUUUCAAAGUUUGAAUGCAUAUUCUGUUUAUGUUAUCUUACUCUCUGUACGUGAUUUUGAAAACAUAACUGCAACCACACCAGAGGUCCAAAUGGUACGUUUUAUAUGUCAUAUGAAAGAUAUUUGAGUCUACUUUCCAUGAAAAAAAACCUCAUCUCAUUUAGAGUUCUGUAGAAAAAGUUAUGGGUAAAACAUUGAGCAAAGGUCAGAGCUGUCCAGUUUUCGGAUUUUUGUGUUUUGGGUGUUUCUGUACGCGAUUUUAAAAAAAUAACUGCAACCACACCAGAGGUCCAAAUGCUACGUUUUAUAUGUCAUAUGAAAGAUAAUUGAGUCUAUUUUCCAUGAAAAAAAACCUCAUCUCAUUUAGAGCUCUGUAGAAAAAGUUAUGGGUAAAACAUUGAGCAAAGGUCAGAGCUGUCUAGAAAGGAAUGGGUAUCACGUUUUCUUGUGUUUGAAUGAAGGGAAAAUAUUUUCUUAUCAUUUUGCUUCUUGUGCAGUAAAAAAUGAAUAAUCUUUUCUAGAAUUUCUUUGGGUUCUCACGGUUUUCACUUUUAUUUGGUCAAGCAAAAUAUUUUUCUUUUCUUUUAAGAUCAUUCAUGUGCUCACGGUUUCAACUUCUUGAAAGCAAAGUUCAUGUUUCUUUUCUUCAAUUUAUUUUAUGAAAAGUAAUUGUUUUUCUAGAAGAAGUGGGGUAAUGGCUGAAAAAUUUCCUUGACUUGGAUGGACACAAAUACAUUGGUAAGAGACAAAAGACACUUCCAAAUUCUUCUUAACAUGACUCAUGGUGGGACUUGGUGAUGAGAUGUUCCUUUGCCUAAUUGACUAAAAGAAAUGAAAAUACUAAAUGAUGGUGCAAGGUUAUGAGGUAAAUUCUAAAAUUGAUGCAAUCUUAAUUAAUGAAACACUGAGAACUCCAUAAGUCAUGAACAAAGAAAAUUAAUUUGUAGCAUUUUCAGUUUCUUUAAACACUUGGUGACAUGAAAAUAAAAAAAAAAGAAUUUAUUUCUGUUUUUAAUUUAUUUUACUGAGUUUGUUGAGUUUGUUUUUAAUUUAGUAUAGUAUUUUCCGUGUUUUUAAUAAUGUUUGGUUGUAUUUAAUUCCAAUUUUAAUUUAGUUUAAUUUUUUUUCUUGCCAUUUAAUUUUGCUGCAAUUUUAAUUUUUGUAUUACCAUUUAAUUCUUGCCAUUUAAUUUCAGUUUUACAGUUUUUUGUAUUUUCUAUUUUGCUGUAUUCUAUUUCUUUUACUAUUUCUGUCUCUAAAUUCCUUUAUUUUAUUUUCUAUUUCUUUUAAUAUUUCUGUAUUAAUUGAAUUUCUGUCUCUAAAUUCCUUUAUUUUCUGUACUGUUAUUUUAAUUUCUGUUAUACUGUUUUUACUAUUUACUAAUUUUCUUUAUUUACUAUUUUACUGUGUUCUGUAUUAACUGUUUUCUGUAUUUCGAAUUUUACUGUAGCAGUUCAGUUUUUACUGUUUUAAUUUUUAUGCAUGGUAAAAUGUUUUGUUGCAUUUGAUUUCAUUUUAAUUAAAUUUAACUACGUUUUUACAUCUGCAUUUUUAAUUGCAUCUGCAUCCUUAAUUUUAAUUUUUCUGCACACAAAAAAAAAAACAUUUCAAAACCCCCCCACUUUCUGUAAGACUUAAUUUCUAAACCGCAAUUUGGUCCUUGAGAGACGACCUAGGAGUCACUUCCUAGCUAUACUACAUAUUUAAUUGCAAUCAAAUUUGUGUGGGUUGCGACGCCCCAUCAUUCACUAACAAAUUCAACGAAUUUCUUUAAUUCACUAACAGAUUCAACGAAUUUUUUUAAUUCACUAACAAAUUCAACUAAUUUCUUUAAUUCACUAACAAAUUCAACUAAUUUCUUUAAUUCACUAACAAAUCCAACACAUUUCU
rnacentral:lncRNA from 1 species